GGUUAAGUGACUAAGCGUACACGGUGGAUGCCUAGGCAGUCAGAGGCGAUGAAGGACGUGCUAAUCUGCGAUAAGCGUCGGUAAGGUGAUAUGAACCGUUAUAACCGGCGAUUUCCGAAUGGGGAAACCCAGUGUGAUUCGUCACACUAUCAUUAACUGAAUCCAUAGGUUAAUGAGGCGAACCGGGGGAACUGAAACAUCUAAGUACCCCGAGGAAAAGAAAUCAACCGAGAUUCCCCUAGUAGCGGCGAGCGAACGGGGAACAGCCCAGAACCUGAAUCAGUUCUUGUGUUAGUGGAAGCGUCUGGAAAGGCGCGCGGCAAAGGGUGAUAGCCCCGUACACUAAAAUGCACAUACUGUGAGUUCGAUGAGUAGGGCGGGACACGUGACAUCCUGUCUGAAUAUGGGGGGACCAUCCUCCAAGGCUAAAUACUCCUGACUGACCGAUAGUGAACCAGUACCGUGAGGGAAAGGCGAAAAGAACCCCGGCGAGGGGAGUGAAAAAGAACCUGAAACCGUGUACGUACAAGCAGUGGGAGCACCUUUGUGGUGUGACUGCGUACCUUUUGUAUAAUGGGUCAGCGACUUAUAUUCUGUAGCAAGGUUAACCGUAUAGGGGAGCCGAAGGGAAACCGAGUCUUAACUGGGCGUUUAGUUGCAGGGUAUAGACCCGAAACCCGGUGAUCUAGCCAUGGGCAGGUUGAAGGUUGGGUAACACUAACUGGAGGACCGAACCGACUAAUGUUGAAAAAUUAGCGGAUGACUUGUGGCUGGGGGUGAAAGGCCAAUCAAACCGGGAGAUAGCUGGUUCUCCCCGAAAGCUAUUUAGGUAGCGCCUCGUGAACUCAUCUUCGGGGGUAGAGCACUGUUUCGGCAAGGGGGUCAUCCCGACUUACCAACCCGAUGCAAACUGCGAAUACCGGAGAAUGUUAUCACGGGAGACACACGGCGGGUGCUAACGUCCGUCGUGAAGAGGGAAACAACCCAGACCGCCAGCUAAGGUCCCAAAGUCAUGGUUAAGUGGGAAACGAUGUGGGAAGGCAUAGACAGCCAGGAUGUUGGCUUAGAAGCAGCCAUCAUUUAAAGAAAGCGUAAUAGCUCACUGGUCGAGUCGGCCUGCGCGGAAGAUGUAACGGGGCUAAACCAUGCACCGAAGCUGCGGCAGCGACGCUUAGGCGUUGUUGGGUAGGGGAGCGUUCUGUAAGCCUGUGAAGGUGUACUGUGAGGUAUGCUGGAGGUAUCAGAAGUGCGAAUGCUGACAUAAGUAACGAUAAAGCGGGUGAAAAACCCGCUCGCCGGAAGACCAAGGGUUCCUGUCCAACGUUAAUCGGGGCAGGGUGAGUCGACCCCUAAGGCGAGGCCGAAAGGCGUAGUCGAUGGGAAACAGGUUAAUAUUCCUGUACUUGGUGUUACUGCGAAGGGGGGACGGAGAAGGCUAUGUUGGCCGGGCGACGGUUGUCCCGGUUUAAGCGUGUAGGCUGGUUUUCCAGGCAAAUCCGGAAAGCUAUCAAGGCUGAGGCGUGAUGACGAGGCACUACGGUGCUGAAGCAACAAAUGCCCUGCUUCCAGGAAAAGCCUCUAAGCAUCAGGUAACAUCAAAUCGUACCCCAAACCGACACAGGUGGUCAGGUAGAGAAUACCAAGGCGCUUGAGAGAACUCGGGUGAAGGAACUAGGCAAAAUGGUGCCGUAACUUCGGGAGAAGGCACGCUGGCGCGUAGGUGAAGAGACUUGCUCUCGGAGCUGAAGCCAGUCGCAGAUACCAGCUGGCUGCAACUGUUUAUUAAAAACACAGCACUGUGCAAACACGAAAGUGGACGUAUACGGUGUGACGCCUGCCCGGUGCUGGAAGGUUAAUUGAUGGGGUCAGCCGCAAGGCGAAGCUCUUGAUCGAAGCCCCGGUAAACGGCGGCCGUAACUAUAACGGUCCUAAGGUAGCGAAAUUCCUUGUCGGGUAAGUUCCGACCUGCACGAAUGGCGUAAUGAUGGCCAGGCUGUCUCCACCCGAGACUCAGUGAAAUUGAACUCGCUGUGAAGAUGCAGUGUACCCGCGGCAAGACGGAAAGACCCCGUGAACCUUUACUAUAGCUUGACACUGAACAUUGAGCCUUGAUGUGUAGGAUAGGUGGGAGGCUUUGAAGUGUGGACGCCAGUCUGCAUGGAGCCAACCUUGAAAUACCACCCUUUAAUGUUUGAUGUUCUAACUCGGCCCCAUAAUCUGGGGUGAGGACAGUGUCUGGUGGGUAGUUUGACUGGGGCGGUCUCCUCCCAAAGAGUAACGGAGGAGCACGAAGGUUAGCUAAUCACGGUCGGACAUCAGGAGGUUAGUGCAAAGGCAUAAGCUAGCUUGACUGCGAGCGUGACGGCUCGAGCAGGUACGAAAGUAGGUCUUAGUGAUCCGGUGGUUCUGAAUGGAAGGGCCAUCGCUCAACGGAUAAAAGGUACUCCGGGGAUAACAGGCUGAUACCGCCCAAGAGUUCAUAUCGACGGCGGUGUUUGGCACCUCGAUGUCGGCUCAUCACAUCCUGGGGCUGAAGUAGGUCCCAAGGGUAUGGCUGUUCGCCAUUUAAAGUGGUACGCGAGCUGGGUUUAGAACGUCGUGAGACAGUUCGGUCCCUAUCUGCCGUGGGCGUUGGAAGAUUGAGAGGGGUUGCUCCUAGUACGAGAGGACCGGAGUGAACGCACCACUGGUGUUCGGGUUGUCAUGCCAAUGGCACUGCCCGGUAGCUAAGUGCGGAAAAGAUAAGCGCUGAAAGCAUCUAAGCACGAAACUUGCCCCGAGAUGAGUUCUCCCUGACUCCUUGAGAGUCCUGAAGGAACGUUUAAGACUAAGACGUUGAUAGGCUGGGUGUGUAAGUGCAGCGAUGCAUUGAGCUAACCAGUACUAAUGAUCCGUGAGGCUUAACCUU
rnacentral:rRNA from 1 species